rnacentral:rRNA from 1 species
CCUACGGGCGGCAGCAGUGAGGAAUAUUGGUCAAUGGACGAGAGUCUGAACCAGCCAAGUAGCGUGAAGGAUGACUGCCCUAUGGGUUGUAAACUUCUUUUAUAUGGGAAUAAAACGUUCCACGUGUGGGAUUUUGUAUGUACCAUAUGAAUAAGGAUCGGCUAACUCCGUGCCAGCAGCCGCGGUAAUACGGCGGAUCCGAGCGUUAUCCGGAUUUAUUGGGUUUAAAGGGAGCGUAGGUGGAUUGUUAAGUCAGUUGUGAAAGUUUGCGGCUCAACCGUAAAAUUGCAGUUGAAACUGGCAGUCUUGAGUACAGUAGAGGUGGGCGGAAUUCGUGGUGUAGCGGUGAAAUGCUUAGAUAUCACGAAGAACUCCGAUUGCGAAGGCAGUUCACUGGACUGCAACUGACACUGAGGCUCGAAAGUGUGGGUAUCAAACAGGAUUAGAUACCCCAGUAGUC